CGGGCAGCGAGUUUCUAUGUUUAUUAAUAAAAAGGCAGCAGAAAAUAUAAAUGCACCAGCAUCACAUACAGAUCUAAAUCAGUGUUGUGAUUCAGGGAUCUGGAGUAUUUAUAUUGCACAAUCAAAAACAAAAACAAAGCAUUUUGGCGCUGAUCCUCGCGCAGCACCUCAUCAUAGAGAUUUGCAAAUAGACGAAUUUCCUGUUCCGUGCACAAAGUCAGGGGUCCUGAGAUCUCCAUCAUGAUGGGUAGGUUCUGGUGCCGGCAUGGCUGCUGGGACAACAUGCGGAUCUGGAUCUGUUGUGCUGUCAUUGGAUGCUUCAGCUGGAUCGCCAGCGCUCACCUGAAACUCGCGACGACACAGCGGGCACCGAGGAUCGCCCCUCACCUGCAAAUAGCGUUCUAAACAAUCCGUGCAAAAAGAAUGGCUGCACGGCAAGCAACAAGGCCGCUGUUGCUCAUCUAAACAAAAUAUGCAUGGAUUAGGGUUAGUCUUCAUGAUAUCGCACCUUCAAGGAAAUGCACAAAAACUUAUCCAACGACACUCGCUUACAAAUCUAAAUUCGCUUUAAAGGACACCGUUGAUAGUUGAAUUACACAAAAACGCUUGAAUUCGCCUCAAGGUUUUCAAUUUACAAAAGGCUAGCAAAAGCGACUUAAGAGGCACUGCCUACUUAUUAAAAUACAUUUAACAAUAACAAGAA